UGAAGGUGUGCGCCACCAAGGCUGACCUUAAAAAAAGCUGCUUUCCCAUGGACUCAGAUUUCUUACCAAAUGUGGUCUGAACUACCUUGAAAUCUCUAGUCUGUCACCAGGUCUACAGUGUGGUUUAAAGUGAUCACUUACACUGACGUCUAGCUUUUGUUUGCAUGCAGAUUAUGGCAUACAGCUUGUGCGAGCGAUGAGGGAGAAGUAAUUGUUUUUGGUGGUUGUGCCAACAAUCUGCUGGUCCAUCAUAGAGCUGCACACAGUAACGAAGUACUUAUAUUUUCAGUCCAACCAAAAUCUCUUGUACGGCUAAGCUUAGAAGCAGUCAUUUGCUUUAAAGAAAUGCUAGCCAACUCGUGGAGCUGCCUUCCAAAACACUUACUUCACAGUGUUAAUCAGAGGUUUGGUAGUAACAACACUUCUGGAUCAUAAGGCUUUGUAGAUACUACUUCUGGUCUACUUGCAUGGAAAACAGCCCUGUAUUUGUCAGUGUCAUCCUUUGUAUAAUUAUAUCAUUGUUGUAGUUUGCAGCUUUCUGGGUUUUAUGUGCAUGUGAAUGGCCUAGAGAACCUAUUUUUGUGUCUAAAGUUUACAAUAAAUGUAUUUAACACCAGUACCUGUCUAUUGUUAAAAGUUAAAAAAAAAUCACUGUGUUGGCAUUUUUUUUAAUGAUUUAUUUUUUAUGUAUACUGAAUGGUGUUUUUCCUGCAUGCGUAAGGGUGUUGGACUCCCUGGAACUGGAGUUACAGACAGUUGUAAGCUGCAGUGUGGGUGCUGGUAACUGAACCUGGGUCCUGUGGAAGAACAGCCAGUGCUGAGCCAUCUCUCCAGCCCCUGCAUUGACUUUUAUACCAAGAAUGGUUAUAACAUUUUUUUUACAUUUAUCUUUUGAUAAUUUGGAUGUGUCUGUAGAAAUGUAAAGAUGCUACAUUUUCAGCCUUUACCCUUAUGUAGCCAAGGCUGGGUCUUGAAUCAGUCAUCCUCUAGCUUCCACCCCUCAAGUACUAGAACUGAAAAUGCUAUCACACUGGGUAUGUCUGCAGUGGGUGAGACUUAAACAGCCCAAGCUACAACUUAGUACUUCAACCUUAGUGUGUUGGUGCAGUCCUGGGACAUGUGGUGGCCAUAGUUACUACCCAGCUAAUUAAAACAUGGUAGUUUAUACCUCCUGAAGGGAAUGAUACUGCAUGGCUUCAUUCUCUAUUCUAAUAGGAGCCGGAAGAAUACUAGUCCAGGAAUCUUUAGUGAUGAGCCUAAAAAAAAAAAAUGCACUUUUGAUUUUUCUUCCCAAGACGGAGUUUCUCUCUAUGGCCUUGGCUGUCCUGAGCUCUAACUCAGAGAGCUACCUGCUUCUGCUUCCCCAAUGCUGCAACCACCACCCAGAAAAAAUGCACUUCUGAUAUUACAGGUCAAGACGCUUGAGCCUGGUGGGAGAUGCACGCCUUUACUCCAGCACUCAGGAGGCAGGGGCAGGCCAUCUCUUGAGGUGAAGGUCAGUCCGCUUUACAGAGUGAGUUCAGGACAACCAUGGCUACACAGGAAACCCUGACUUGGAAAGACCAAAACCACCAUAAGACAGUUUUAACUAUUUGAUAGCUGCUGGGAGUAGGGGAUUGGAAAGAAAAUAGCAAACAAGUGAUAUAUUACAAGGAAGAAAUUAGGAAGAAAGCUGAUAUAUAUAUAUAUAAAUGCACGGAAACAACUGUCAUUUUCUUGUGGUUUUUUUUUUUUUUUUUUUUUUUGCAUUUGAUGUAAAACUUGGCAAAGUGUUCAAGACACAAACCUUAAAUGUUUAAUUGCUCUACUAACCAAACAGAAACCUCUCCUGACUGGCUGUACUAUGUAUGAGAUGUUAUAUACAGUAGACCACUACGUCAGUAGUUUAUGCACUUGAGCCAUUUCAGGGUCUUUUCAUCAUGAAUGAGACCUCAAGAAUUUCAAUAAAAUGUAGAACAAUUACAGGUGUGUAUCAUUAAGUUUUCACAAAUAUUUUACGAAAUAUUAUUGUAGUAGUGUAUAUAUAUAUAUAUAUAUAUAUAUAUAUAU
rnacentral:lncRNA from 1 species